AUUAAAUAUGGAAUUUUGCAGUGAAAUAUUUGGGCUAUUCGUGGCAAGAUGAGUGGAAAAUGAAGAAAUUGAACAGCCUUUGCUGGGAUGACCAACCAGGAUCCCCUUUUUCUUUCUUCUUGUAUGUGCUUAUUGCAGUCUGUGUGUUUAUAUUGAAUCAAUUUUUGUUUGCCUGCUAACUUUUUGUAAAUAUGUGCUUAAAAUUGUGUAAUUUUGGCGUGAUUGUGGAAAUUUAUUGACUGUGGGUUGCAGACAAAUUUAUAUUUUCUUCGAAAAUUUUGGUACGUGCACAAUUUUCAUAAAUGAGUAUUGUCAAAGCUUGAAACCAGUACUGCACUUGAUAUAAUGCUUGUGGUUUAGCAAUUUUUUUAUUUUUAUUUUUUAUUCUUUAAUACAAUUUCUAUAUGGUUUUGUGUAAUUAUAAAUGCUUUCUUGGUGAAACUUAGUACUCUCAACCCUUUGUGAUUCAAGCUAAAAACCUAAACUUGACUUGAAUGGAUCUUUUUUCUCAAUGCAUAAUUAGAUUUUUAUUUUUUGUGGUUUUGAUGUUUAGAUUUGGUCACACUUGCUCCAUUAUGAACUUCAUAUAACAAGCACUAUAAUGGACGAAAAGUAACUUAUCCUAACACGUUGAAUAACAAAUAUUUACUUAAAUGUAAUUUUUACUUAUGUCAAGCUUUGCCAAACACGCUCGUCACACUGCUAGCAAUAUAGAAUUGGGUUUUAGUUGCAUCAUUAUCAUCAUCAUCAUUAUUAUUAUUUAAAUCUAAUUUGCAAAAGGAAUAACCAAACACUUUUAGAGGAUCUGCAAAUGUUAUAGCAAUGAGAUUGUCAUUUGUAUUGUAGAUUGAUGACAAGCCAGAUUCAGCUAAGAUUGGCAAAUAUGUUGAGGGGUACAGAGAUUGUAUGUCUUAUAAUGGCUCUCAAACUUCCUGAUUUGAACUCUUCUGAUCUGAGACAUGCCUGGAGAUUGCCAUCGAAGCCCCAUCCCCCGAUCCUUUGGUAGUGCCACAUUCUACUAAUAAACUCUGGACAUGUUUCUUGUGAAGGAAACGUGACAAAUAUGUGUGUUCCUGGAAGUCAUUGUGUGAGGUUCCAAGCUCUCCCUCACAUUUAGACUAGUGGGAUCGUAUCUUUCUAAGUGAUGCGACGGAAGAUUUAUAAAUAUUUCCAUUGCAUACUUAAAUGAAGGCAAGUCAGUUUGGCUAUUGUUAGCAUUUUCAGGAUUUGGAUCUUCUCUUUUUCAAAGAUUUCAUUAGGUUUUUUGUAUAUGUAUUUCUUGAGAAUUGUGGGUUCUACUGAUUCUUGUUUUCAGAUGUAUACAUUCGGUUCUACCUCUAUGUGGACGAUGCC
rnacentral:lncRNA from 1 species